rnacentral:rRNA from 1 species
UACGUAGGUGGCGAGCGUUGUCCGGAUUUACUGGGCGUAAAGAGCGCGCAGGCGGUCGAAUAAGUCGAAUGUGAAAGCCCCCGGCUUAACUGGGGAGGGUCAUUCGAUACUGCUCGACUUGAAGGCAGGAGAGGGUAGUGGAAUUCCCGGUGUAGUGGUGAAAUGCGUAGAUAUCGGGAGGAACACCAGUGGCGAAGGCGGCAGCCUGGUUGGUAUCUGACGCUCGGACACGACAGCAUGGGGAGCGAACGGG